rnacentral:misc_RNA from 1 species
AAAGUCGUAACAAGGUUUCCGUAGGUGAACCUGCGGAAGGAUCAUUACCGAAUGACAUCUGUACCUUCUUGUAGCAGACCGUCAUUGACCAGCUGACGGUGAAUGAAUGGUCUGUUACGUACGCCUAACCAUCAAACAUGUCGUUGCAUGGUGGGGUGGCAUCCUUUUGUUGGGUUGCGCCUCAAGUAUGGAAAUAUCAAUAUAACUUUCAACAACGGAUCUCUUGGCUCUC